CUGGUGGCAUCAGUGGGAUCAGUGGGAUUUCUGGGAUGGAUGGGAUCAUUGUUGGGAUGGGUGGGAUCAUCAGUGGGGUCAUGAGAUCAGUGGGAUUGCAGGGAUGGAUGGGAUGAUCAGUGAGGUCAUGGGAUCAGUGUGAUCGCUGGUGUGGAUGGGAUAAUCACUGGGAUCCAUGGGGUCAAUGGGAUCUUUGGGAUGGAUGGGAUCAUCAGUGGGGUCAUGAGAUCAGUGGGAUUGCUGGGAUGGGUGGGAUCAUUGGUGGGGUCAUGGGAUCGAUGGGUGACAUGAGUGGGAUCAAUGGUGGGAUCUAUGGGAUGGAUGGGAUGAUUGGUGGGGUCAUGGGAUCGAUGGGUGACAUGGGUGGGGUCACCAAUGGGAUCAUCGGUGACAUCAGUGGGAUCAAUAGGAUCACUGGAAUGGAUGGGAGCAUCAGUGGGAUGGGUGGAAUCAUCAGUGGGGUCAUGGGAUCAAUGGUUGACAUGGGUGAGGUCACUGGUGGCAUCAGUGGGAUCAGUGGGAUUUCUGGGAUGGAUGGGAUCAUUGUUGGGAUGGAUGGGAUCAUUGUUGGGGUCAUGGGGUCGAUGGGUGACAUGGGUGGGGUCAUGGAUGGGAUCAUCAGUGGCAUCAGUGGGAUCAAUAGCAUCGCUGGGAUGGAUGGGACCAUCAGUGAGGUCAUGGGAUCAGUGGGAUCGCUGGUGUGGAUGGGAUAAUCACUGGGAUCCAUGGGGUCAGUGGGAUCUUUGGGAUGGAUGGGAUCAUUGUUGGGGUCAUGAGAUCAGUGGGAUUACUGGAAUGGGUGGGAUCAUUGGUGGGAUCGGCGUAGUGGAUGGGAUCAGUGGGAUCAUCAGCGGGAUGUAUGGGAACA
ensembl:lncRNA